CAUUGCGAAGGCGAUCUGCUGGAACUCAACUGACGCUAAGGCGCGAAAGCGUGGGGAGCAAACAGGAUUAGAUACCCUGGUAGUCCACGCCCUAAACGAUGUACACUAGUUGUUGGGGUGCUAGUCAUCUCAGUAAUGCAGCUAACGCAUUAAGUGUACCGCCUGGGGAGUACGGUCGCAAGAUUAAAACUCAAAGGAAUAGACGGGGACCCGCACAAGCGGUGGAGCAUGUGGUUUAAUUCGAAGAUACGCGAAGAACCUUACCUGGGCUUGAUAUCCUAAGAACCUUUUAGAGAUAAGAGGGUGCUAGCUUGCUAGAACUUAGAGACAGGUGCUGCACGGCUGUCGUCAGCUCGUGUCGUGAGAUGUUGGGUUAAGUCCCGCAACGAGCGCAACCCACGUAUUUAGUUGCUAACGGUUCGGCCGAGCACUCUAAAUAGACUGCCUUCGUAAGGAGGAGGAAGGUGUGGACGACGUCAAGUCAUCAUGGCCCUUAUGCCCAGGGCGACACACGUGCUACAAUGGCAUAUACAAUGAGACGCAAUACCGCGAGGUGGAGCAAAUCUAUAAAAUAUGUCCCAGUUCGGAUUGUUCUCUGCAACUCGAGAGCAUGAAGCCGGAAUCGCUAGUAAUCGUAGAUCAGCCAUGCUACGGUGAAUACGUUCCCGGGUCUUGUACUCACCGCCCGUCACACCAUGGGAGUUGAUUUCACUCGAAGCCGGAAUACUAAACUAGUUACCGUCCACAGUGGAAUCAGCGACUGGGGUGAAGUCGUAACAAGGUAACCGUAGGAGAACCUGCGGUUGGAUCACCUCCUUUCUA
rnacentral:rRNA from 1 species